GCUUCCUUGGCUCAGUUGGUAGAGCGUUGGUCUCAUAAAUAGUUUAUGAUCUGGAUAGACUUCAGAGCGAUCCAAAGGUCGUGAGUUCGAGCCUCACAGGGAGCA